UUAUGGCCAUAUCAUGUUGAAGCACUGAUUCCUGUAUAAUCACUGAAGUUAAGCAACAUCAAGCCUGGCCAGUACCUAGACAGGUGACCGUUUGGGAAUACCAGGUGCU